GACGAACGCUGGCGGCGUGCUUAACACAUGCAAGUCGAACGGAAAGGCCCUGCUUUUGUGGGGUGCUCGAGUGGCGAACGGGUGAGUAACACGUGAGUAACCUGCCCUUGACUGUGGGAUAACUUCAGGAAAUUGGGGCUAAUACCGGAUAGGAGCUCCUGCUGCAUGGUGGGGGUUGGAAAGUUUCGGCGGUUGGGGAUGGACUCGCGGCUUAUCAGCUUGUUGGGGGGGAGUUGGCUUACCAAGGCUUUGACGGGUAGCCGGCCUGAGAGGGUGACCGGCAACAUGGGAACUGGGAAAGGGCCCGGACUCCAACGGGAGGCAGCAGGGGGGAAUAUUGCACAAUGGGCGGAAGCCUGAGGCGGCAACGCCGCGUGCGGAAUGACGGCCUUCGGGUGGUAAACCGCUUUCGCAUGUAACGAGGCGUGUGUGACGGUAAUGGGUAAAGAAGCACCGGCUAACUACGUG
rnacentral:rRNA from 1 species